UAGAGUUUGAUCCUGGCUCAGGACGAACGCUGGCGGUGUGCUUCACACAUGCAAGUCGAACGGAGUAGCAAUACUCAGUGGCGGACGGGUGAGUAACACGUGGGAAUCUACCAUUAGAUGGGGAAUAACAGGCCGAAAGGACUGCUAAUGCCGCAUUGUAUGUGCCUCGACAGGGGUGUACAUGAAAGGAGUAAUCCGUCUGAUGAUGAGCCCGCGUCCGAUUAGCUAGUUGGUAAGGUAAAAGCUUACCAAGGCGACGAUUGGUAGCUGGUCUGAGAGGAUGAUCAGCCACAUUGGGACUGAGACACGGCCCAGACUCCUACGGGAGGCAGCAGUGGGGAAUAUUGCGCAAUGGGCGAAAGCCUGACGCAGCGACGCCGCGUGUGGGAUGACGGCCUUCGGGUUGUAAACCACUGUCGCGAGGGACGAAGAUCUGACGGUACCUCGAAAGGAAGCACCGGCUAACUCUGUGCCAGCAGCCGCGGUAAUACAGAGGGUG
rnacentral:rRNA from 1 species